rnacentral:pre_miRNA from 1 species
AAAAACGUCGCUAUAGAACAUGAUCUUUAGCGGCAUUUUUAUUUCAAUCACCACUAAAGAAUAUGAUCUUUAAUGGCAUUUGUUUUCAAAUGCCACAAGAGAGUCGAGCAUGUUGGGGCAUUUGAAGUUAGAAUCUCCGCAAAAGAUCAUGUUCUUUAGCGGUGUUUGUAGUAAAA